rnacentral:lncRNA from 1 species
GUGAGGUUUGAAUAGUUUUCAGAAACACAAAGCAGUAGAAGGUGAAAUAGCACACCUUUGAAUCACUUGCAUAAAGGCAUUUUUACUAGAGUUAUCUAGUUAAUUGCUUCAAGUGAGUUUUUGUACCUUCUGUAUCCCCAGGAUUGUAGUUUAUCUUCUAACAAAUGUAGAACAAAGGGCUGGAGAUGUAGCUCAGAGGCAGAGCUCUUGUCUAUCGUGUGAGGCCCUGGAUUGAAUCCUUAGCACCACAGAGAAAAAAGAAAAAGUGUAGGAUAAUUAGGCCAUGUACACAGCCUAGCUUCUAGUUAAGUCAUUCAUGUUGCAUCCAACCCACUGGGAUAUUUUAAAGUGUGUUCCAGCUAUUAUGUCACUUCAUCCAUAUUUUUUUAUUUUUUGGAGUGGGGCUACUAGGAUUGAACACAGAGAUGCUUAACCACUAAGCCACAUACUCAGCCCUUUUUAUAUUUUAUUUUGAGACAGGAUCUCUCUGAGUUGCUGGGGCUGGCUUUGAACUCACAAUCCUGCCUCAACCUCCCGAGUUGCUGAGAUUACAGGCAUGUGUCAGCUCCAAGCGAUACCUGUUUUAAAUAAUUUCAGAUUUGUAUUUUAGAUCAGUAAACUCAGAGAAGUAGAGGGGAAAAAAAUUUUUUUAACAAAAGGUAGAACUUAAAUGACCUAGAAGAAUGGGAAGAGUCCAGUAGGGAAACAAUAUGAAAGAGAUCUUGGGAAUAAAGAAUGGCAUUUAUAUGAGGAGUUAUGAAAAAUGGUCUGAAGAGUAUCUGAUGUAAGGAUGGAAAUAAGAAAGGUAAUGCUGGCUUUGGUGCCUGAGGCUUUAUUGCAAAGGUUCCUUUUUUUUGGACAUUUUUAUUAUGAAAGUUUUUCUAAUAUGCAAAACCAUUAAGCAGUGAAUAAUUCUUAUACCCACUACCUAGAAUCUACAAAUAACAUAUCACAUAGUUCAUUUGUGGAAUGGCCCUUAUUUGCUCCUUGUUUUUAUUCUCUUGUCAUUUCUUGGAGAAAGUGUUCUUCCAUCAGAUGAGGUCAUCAUGUAGGAUGAUUAGGAGGUCUGGGUGAGUAUAAUGGGACUUAAUAAGUUGCCUCUGGAAUAGGAGAAUUGUGGCCCCCAUGACUUCCCCUCCUGUGAUAUUAAACUUGUAUAUUGCAUUAUGUUGUUAAAGGGGCUUUGCAGAAUAUGUGGACAUUUGCUUCUCAAGUAAAUCCAAUUUUAAGCAAGAUGCUUGAUCUGCUGAGGUGGAG